rnacentral:rRNA from 1 species
UACAGAGGUCUCAAGCGUUGUUCCGAAUCACUGGGCGUAAAGCGUGCGUAGGCUGUUUCGUAAGUCGUGUGUGAAAGGCGCGGGCUCAACCCGCGGACGGCACAUGAUACUGCGAGACUAGAGUAAUGGAGGGGGAACCGGAAUUCUCGGUGUAGCAGUGAAAUGCGUAGAUAUCGAGAGGAACACUCGUGGCGAAGGCGGGUUCCUGGACAUUAACUGACGCUGAGGCACGAAGGCCAGGGGAGCGAAAGGG